UAAGCAUUGUACCGUUAAAUUAUUUAUAAAAUUGAAAAAAAUCGACAUGAUUCCGAUUAUAUAGAGUCUAAUUACCGGACUUAUUAUUAGCCAUAUUACUUACAUUAUUUUUGCCGCUUAAACUUAUUAAUGUACAGCUGGUAUAUUGACAUUUUUCAUUCAGAUUUUUUGGGAAAACUUUCAUCCAUUGAUUUUUCUGUGAAUCCGUGACGUAUUUAUAUUUGAUGAUUUCGAUGAGCAUGAUUUAUGAUAUAUUAUUUCGGUUAAUUGUGGCCCGCAAUGACAAAGCGUAUUGGCCUGUCAACAGAAAUGUGAAAUUUUAUUUUUUAUU